rnacentral:lncRNA from 1 species
CCAAAUAAAAUAAUUUCUGUUGCUUGUCAUAUCAUUUCCUCUAAUAGCUGUGGUGGUUUCUGGGAGACUCCCCUGGCCCGAGAAGUCCUCUCAGAAACAACUUUGCUCCUCCUCAAGACAACCUCAACUUUUCUUCUCAGCCUCGGCUCUUCUUUCCUCCAAUACAGCAAUCCUAUCAUCUCGAGAGGUGGCUAUUCCCCUUCUCACGACUCCCAAGUUUUCCAGAAGCAGCACUUCCCUGACUUAACAACUUCUGCUUUUGUUAACACGUCCUGCUGCGCUGCCUGCCUCUCCCUGGGCGUGCUUCAGGGUGCGGACACUCGCCCUGAGAGCCGGGUAGGACACACAACGUGUGGCAUGAAGCCUACCCUUCACUGCGGACACCUUGGAGAUGCCGGGGUGACCCCAAUGGAGAUGUACAGGGCAAGCCCCUCCAUUGGGCCUGGGGGUGGGGGGGGGUGGGGCUCGAAGCCCACGGGGUCAGGAAAUCCAAAGGAGGACGAAGGGAACAGGUGGUCAGAGGAGCAAAGGAAGAAGCAAAGGCCCGUGGACGAGCCGGAAGGCUGAGGCAGGUGGAUCCCAAGAGCGGUACCAUAGGCGUUCCAAGCGGCAGCUAGCUGUUCGUUACAUUCUGAGACAAAAGGCGUAAUAUUAAGGAUAAAAAUGGGUUUGCCGAGACCAAAAGCCAUCCCCUAAGAACCAGAUAAUCCUUGUGUUUAGGCAAAGAGUAGCCUGUUAACUUCCCACCCUGUGGCAACGUGGUACCCAGAAUAAAACCAUCAUGUUUAAAGAUAGAACAAACCAGGGGCACCUGGGUGGCUCAGUGGGUUGAGCCUCUGCCUUCGGCUCAGGUCAUGAUCUCAGGGUCCUGGGAUCGAGUCCCGCAUUGAGCUCUCUGCUCAGCACGGAGCCUGCUUCCCUCUCUCUCUCUCUCUCUGCCUG